UACGUAGGAGGCAAGCGUUGUCCGGAGUUACUGGGCGUAAAGCGCACGCAGGCGGUCCCAUUAGUCUGUGGGGACAGGGCACGGCUCAACCGUGUCAGGCUCAUGGAAACUGUGGGACUUGAGGGCUUCAGAGGGAUGGGGAAUUCCGGGUGGAGUGGUGAAAUGCGUAGAUAUCGUAAGGAAGACCAGUGGCGAAGGCGAAUCUCUGGACAGUUACUGACACUGAGGCACGAAGGCCAGGGGAGCAAACGGG
rnacentral:rRNA from 1 species